CUCAGUUCGGAUUGGAGUCUGCAACUCGACUCCAUGAAGCUGGAUUCGCUAGUAAUCGCGCAUCAGCCAUGGCGCGGUGAAUACGUUCCCGGGCCUUGUACACACCGCCCGUCAAGCCAUGGAAGCCGGGAGUGCCUGAAGUGUGCAACCGCAAGGAGCGCCCUAAGGUAAAACUGGUGACUGGGGCUAAGUCGUAACAAGGUACC
rnacentral:rRNA from 1 species